UGCAAAGAACAUGAGUCACUGA
rnacentral:miRNA from 1 species